rnacentral:rRNA from 1 species
GAUGAACGCUGGCGGCGUGCCUAAUACAUGCAAGUCGAGCGAACAGACGAGGAGCUUGCUCCUCUGACGUUAGCGGCAGACGGGUGAGUAACACGUGGAUAACCUACCUAUAAGACUGGGAUAACUUCGGGAAACCGGAGCUAAUACCGGAUAAUAUAUUGAACCGCAUGGUUCAAUAGUGAAAGACGGUUUUGCUGUCACUUAUAGAUGGAUCCGCGCCGCAUUAGCUAGUUGGUAAGGUAACGGCUUACCAAGGCAACGAUGCGUAGCCGACCUGAGAGGGUGAUCGGCCACACUGGAACUGAGACACGGUCCAGACUCCUACGGGAGGCAGCAGUAGGGAAUCUUCCGCAAUGGGCGAAAGCCUGACGGAGCAACGCCGCGUGUGUGAUGAAGGUCUUCGGAUCGUAAAACUCUGUUAUUAGGGAAGAACAAAUGUGUAAGUAACUAUGCACGUCUUGACGGUACCUAAUCAGAAAGCCACGGCUAACUACGUG